rnacentral:lncRNA from 1 species
GGGGGGGGGGGGGGAGAGGGAGUUGGGGGGGUCAAUGGGUGGUCAGGGAGGGUUGUGGGGUUUUGGGAGAUCACAGACACUUGGUCGGACCGGGCAGUAUGGGGUGGUUAUGGGGUUUGGGAAGGAAGAGAGUGCCGGGGCGUUACGGGGUUCGGGGUCUGGCAUGGCGGAGUUUGGGGGGAUCGGGAGGGACUGAGGGGUCUGGGGCAGCAGGAGGUCCCGUACGGGGAUGGGCUGCGGGGCUCAGCCCCCUUCCCUUCCCGCUCCGCUCCUCAGGACAGCUCGGGGUACGGGGAUGGGCUGCGAGGCUCAGCCCCUUUCCCCCCCGCUCCGCUCCUCAGGACAGCUCGGGGCUGCGGCUCUGGAAGCGCCGCUGGUUUGUGCUGGUGGAUCUCUGCCUCUACUACUACCGGGGCUGAACAUCCCGGGAUGCGGACGUACUGCCUGGGGGCUGAGACCCCCGAGGAGCUGCAGGCCUGGGUCUGUGCCCUGCGCCGGGGGGCAUCGCCCCUUCCCGGGUGAGUGCGGUGCGGGGGCACAGGGGGUCCGUGGGGGGCACAGAGAAGGCCCGGGCUUCGAGGGGUUGGGGGGGGGGGGGGGGGGGGGGGGGGGGGGGGGGGGGGGGGGGGGGGGGGGGGGGGGGGGGGGGGGGGGGGGGGGGGGGGGGGGGGGGCACAGAGGAGGCCCGGGCUUCGAGGGGUUUGGGGGAUCCCAGGCGGCAGGAGGAGGUUGGAGAUUUUGGGGAGGGAGUCACAGAGGGUUUGUGGGGGUCACAGAGCUUUGGGGGUCUUGGGGGCAGUUAACCCUUUAACUCCUGUUUUCUUCCCGCUUCUCAGCUCCCCCCGUUCCCUCUCCCAGCAGACACUCCAGGAACCCCGGGGUGCGGAUCCUCCCUCUCCCGCACUGCCCACCCACUCCCCAGAUGAGGGGCUCGGGGGCCCCCCAGGCCCUCCACUGCCCCACAGCGAGGUGAGAUCUGGUGGGGAGGACGCGGGGGGAGGAAUUGGAACCCUGCUGGAUAGGGGGAAAUAUGAGGGGGGCAAGUACUGGGGUGACUGUGGUGCAGAUCUGUGCGGUGAGGGGGGUUAUGGGGCAGAGCGGGGGGGGGGGGGGGGGGGGGGGGGGGGGGGGGGGGGGGGGGGGGGGGGGGGGGGG